rnacentral:lncRNA from 1 species
AAGAAGCUUCCAACUUUCAGCUAAUGCAUGGUAGGCAUUUCUAGUCCCGUUUUUAAUUAUUUUUAUAUUUUCGGGAUCGUUGUUGCUGAAUCUAUCUAAUGAGGGGACUAUUUUGCAAAACCAUUGAAUAGUUUGAUAUUUUCCAUUGAUGAGUAUAAUAGGGCUUUGAAGUUCAAUGGAAGAAUAUGAGUCCUUGUUGAUAGUUAAACACUUUUUGUUAAGUGAAUUUUUGUGAAAUUGACAAUUAAGGGCUAAAUUGAUAAAUGUGAAAAAUUUGUGGUUAAAAUGUCAAAUAAAUGAAAUGUGUGGGCUGCUAGAGACACUAGUGAUAUUCUUCUAUGGUAGAAUUUUACUCAAUUUCAUGAAUUUGCAUUUUUAUGAUAUGGGGACUAAAUUGUAAAGAAGUUGAAAUAUUAGGGGCAAAACUAUAAUUUUUCCAUAAAGUGAAUUAUGGACUGUUUUGAUACUAUGAACAUUUGGCUAAGCUUAAUUAUGGUUAAAAAUGGUUAAUUUGCAUGUUUUGAGCUUAGAGACUAAAAUGAAUAAAAGUAAAACUUUAGGGGUAAUUUUGUAAAAAUGGAAAAAAUGAUCAAAUUGUAUGAAAUGAGGUGUUUUAAUGUCUAAAUUAAUAUACUGAAUGAAAUUAUUAAUUUAGAUCAAGAUCGGGUGGAAAAUCGAGAAAAAUGAGAAAAUUACCAAAAUGCCCCUGAACUUUGGUAUCUCUACAAUUUAGCCAGGUAAGUUCGUAUGCAAUAAGCAUUGCUAAAUUGAUGUUUCUAAUGCUUUAAUAUUGUAUAAAUUGUAUAUACGUGAAUAUUUUAAUGUCUGACGACAUAUCGACAAAAUGUGGCACUUAGUGUGCGGGGCAAUCAAAUAUGGUACUCAGUAUACGAAAUAUUGAGAAUGGCACUUAGUGUGCGAGAUAUUGAGAAUGACACUUAGUGUGCAAAAUAUCGAAUGAUUCAAAGGGAAAUUAUAAAUUGUGAUUGAAUGAUUAAAUAGAGCAAAGUGAACAGGUAUACAUGUUAUAUUAUAUGAAUUGUUUAUGAGACGACUUUAUAAUGGUGAUAUUUGGGCUUUGAGCCUAGCAAGCUUUAAGCUGGUGAAUAAUAUUAUCGGGUUUAAAACCUAGCAGGUUAAAUGCCGGUGAUUUGAUAAAAGUCUAAGACUAUGAGACCUUGUGUUAAAUCGGCAAUUGAAUUUGUUCAAUGCAUUAAGUUGGCCAGGUAUGUGAUAUAUUCUUAUGCAUGUUAGAUCGAUUGGAAUUGAAUCAUGAGUGUGAAAUGAGAAGCAUAGGUGAAAAUGCCUAUGUCAUAUAUGUGAGUAAGGGCAAAACCAUCGUAAAUUAUCGAUAAGGGUGAAUUAUGUGCGGAAUCAUCUUAUAAUUGCUAAUUUGAACGGUUGUGUGCGAAUCAUUGAGCAUGAUGUAUUGUAUUGAGAUUAUGCUUGAGUGAAAUUAUAGAUAUGCGAUGAAAUUGAUUGGUGAUAUACAUGUUUAAAUAAUGUGAAUGCAAAGAAUGUGUGAAAGAGUAAAUUUGUAAUAAAUCUGCUUGGGACAGCAGCAGUAACGUGAUUUUGGAAAAUCACCAUAAAUUGUUGGAGUUGAGUUAGAAGUUGAAUAAAUUAUGUAAUUAUAUCUUAAUGAGUCUAGUUUCUUAUAAAAGAAACCGUGUAAGCAAAAGAAUUGCUGAUAAUGAGAUAUUUGAAGUGGCGUGGGAUAGAGUCAAAUGACUUUGGGGUCCCCUGUUCUGUUUUUAGAAAAUCAUUAUAAUUUGUACAAAAAUGGUUAUAAGAUAAAAUUUAUAUGCUUAGACUCCUUAAUGAGUCUAGUUUCAAAUGAAAUCAAAUAGUACAUAUUUUGAAUUCUGUACAAUGAUAAAUUUGAUUCGUAGUGAAGAGUGGUCAGAUUAGUCAAAUAGUGAAACAGAGGAAACUUUAAGAAAAAUCUGGUAUUGAUUGGCCAAACCUAAAAUUCUGAAAAUUUUAUGGAUGGAAGAUAUAUGAGUCUAUUUUCAGGGAAAAUUAACGGAAAUUGAUUUGGAGUUUUGUAGCUCCAAUUAUAAAUAAUUUAGUGACUAUUGCUCAGGAAGACAACUUGUAGUGAAUUUGUGAUUAUGUUGUAAACAUUGAUAAAACUUGUUAAUGAGUUGCUUAUUAUUUUCUUAUGAACUUACUAAGCGUAAAGCUUACUCCCCUUUUCUUUCCCAUAUUCCCUAGGGUUGCCAGGUUAGAUCGGGUUGGAGGCCGUCAGAGAUAUUAUCACAUUGUCAAGUCUAUGCUAUCGGCGUAAGUAAAUCUUAGUGUUUCGAGUCUAUGGCAUGUAUAGGGUUGUAAAGUUGAGUAAGUAAAUGAUACAAGACUAGGAUAUUGGUAAAUAUUUAAUAAUGCCUCAUGAAUAUUUUGGGCCUUGUAAGCCCGAUUAAAGGAUAAUAUACGUGUGUAUGAAAAGUUUAAAAUUGAUCAAAAAAUUUUACGGUCUGGUUUUAUAUAAAUGGAUGAGUUUAAAUCUGGUAGCACCUCGAACCCUGUUCCGGCGAGGGAUACGGGCGAAGGGUGUUACAAUGGCAAUGGAAACGCCCCGACGAUCGAGCUGUCUGCUCUAUCUGUCUAACUUCUCGGUUAGGGUUUUUUUGCUCUCAAGUUAAAAAUAUGUAGAUUAAUUAUUUAAAACCACUGUUAACCUUUGACAUGGUGAAGAGGUGGUAAGACUGGUAAUAUGAGGAGGAGAUGAUGAGGGAGAUAGUGAAAGUGGAGAACUAUAGUAGUGCAUAUGGUUAUGAGAUAAGGAGAUGAUAGAGGUGGAGACUUACAGUUUGCUUAACAUGGGGUGGAGGUGAUGAGGGUGAGAAUGAGGGUGGGUAUGUAGGAAGGGAGCCGGGUGGUGCAAUGUCACAUGUUACCCGGAGGAUGGUGGAGGUGAGGGAGAUCGAAGAGAUUGUGAGGGAGAGAACGGGGGUAGAUAUAUGUAGGAAGGGGGCCAGGUGGUGCAAAGUCAUGUGUUGCCUAGAGGACUGUGGAGGUGUGGGAGAUCGAAGAGAUGGUGAGGGAGAGCACGAGGGUGGAUGUAUGUAGGAAGAGAGCCGGGUGGUGCAAAGUCACAUGUUGCUCGGAGGACGGUGGAUGUGAGGUAGAUCGUAGAGAUGGCGAGGGAGAGUAUGAGGGUGGAUGUAUGUAGGAAGGGGACUAGGUGGUGCAAAAGUCAGUUAGAUACUCAUAUCUAACUCUUGGGUUCAACAUGUAUUUAAGUAUAACAGGAAACUAUGCGAUGCGAUAUGAUCCUCCAUAUUGGUCAUCUUGUUUGCAAUGAACACAUUUGUUAGCAGUAUCUACUAGAUACUAUAUAUAUUUAUUACUCACUAAGAUGAGUACUUUAAUUUUCUUGAGCAGGUUGUUCUUUCAGGAAGCAUCUAUUCCAUGAUGGACUAUAUCAAGGAGCCACUUAUGUUUAUGUAAUAUGGAUUUGAACUUCAUUACAUUGAAUUAUAUCAAUGGAUUGUUUAAUUUCAGUGUGUUUAUUUUGAGUACCAUGUAUUUUCUCUGUCACCAUGUUUGUAUUUGGGAUGGAUUUUUAUAAGACAAGUUGUUGAAAUAUUUGACUAUUUUAAAUUGAUUCUUAUGUGUGAUUUGGAUUAGUAACUAUUAUGAAUAUAUUAAUUUUAAAAUGAUUUUUUU